CCCAGCACCAGCUUCCAACUCCCACCUUCCUCUCAUACUUCUUCGUUCGUUGAAGCCAUGUUAGAUCAAGGAAACGAGAAUUUCUUGGAUUUUCCUAACCUAGUAGAGGAGCCAUUCUCCUACUAAGUUAAUUACUUUCAAGUCAAAAAGAAUUAAAGCCGAACUUGGAAUAAGCUAUAGGUUUUCCAUGACAAGGAUGUAUUUCUUGUA
rnacentral:misc_RNA from 1 species